UACAGAGGUCUCAAGCGUUUGUUCGGAUUCAUUGGGCGUAAAGGGUGUGUAGGUGGCGCGCUAAGUCGGGUGUGAAAUUUCGGAGCUUAACUCCGAAACUGCAUUCGAUACUGGCGUGCUUGAGGACUGGAGAGGAGACUGGAAUUCAUGGUGUAGCGGUGAAAUGCGCAGAUAUCAGGAGGAACACCGGUGGCGAAGGCGGGUCUCUGGGCCGAUACUGACGCUGAGGAGCGAAAGCGUGGGGAGCAAACAGG
rnacentral:rRNA from 1 species